CCAGUCCUAACCUCCCUACCUCCAGGUGGAGGAUAUUCUGUUCUCUGCCUGGCACCUUCCUGGGAGGCAGGGUGGCCAGGGCACAGGGCUCUGCUGGUCCUGCAGGGUACAAGGGAUCUUCCAUACUUCCUCCGUCUUGGGAAGGAGAAGCAGCAAUGCUGUGUCUCAGCUACAACCUGGAGGGAGAGCCUUUGCCCUGCCUACCCCUCCUUAUAGUGUUGGCAGUGUGGGCAGCCCUGUGCUGUUUGAUCUUGGGCCGCUUGCAUCUCUAGAUAUCUAUGAACAUAUUUACUGACUCAGGAGCAGUAGCCAAUGAAACGCCACAUGUGGUAGGCAGCUUUACUUGUUGACAAUGAUGUGUGCACUCCCCGAUGGCUGCACUCCUCUGGAGGUGGAGAAGACAUCCCUAUUGGCCUUGGGCUGGGCCAUGGGACUUACCUUGUCAAGUGGAGUAUGAGCAGACAUGCCCUAUGCCAUGGCAGAGCUGAAGAUGCUAAUGAGCUGGUGUGGUUUGGCUGUGUCCCCUUCAGAGCCUGUGCUCCACAGUGAAAACAGGUUAUCUUAGACGAUGGCCAUCCCGUUGCUAUGGGUCACUGAAUGAAAAGAUAAAUGGAGAUCUGUGGAGACCACCAGAGCCAAAGCCAAUUCACAGCCCUCAAGAAAUAAAUGUUUGUGUUUGUAAGCCACUCAGAUUUGGGAGUUAUAUGUUGCUGCAGCAAAAUCUGACUAAUCCAGUCAGAUUCUGUGCUAAGAACUUUCAAAUGUUACCUCAUU
rnacentral:lncRNA from 1 species